UCAGCGACUUAUAUUCUGUAGCAAGGUUAACCGUAUAGGGGAGCCGAAGGGAAACCGAGUCUUAACUGGGCGUUAAGUUGCAGGGUAUAGACCCGAAACCCGGUGAUCUAGCCAUGGGCAGGUUGAAGGUUGGGUAACACUAACUGGAGGACCGAACCGACUAAUGUUGAAAAAUUAGCGGAUGACCUGUGGCUGGGGGUGAAAGGCCAAUCAAACCGGGAGAUAGCUGGUUCUCCCCGAAAGCUAUUUAGGUAGCGCCUCGUGAACUCAUCUUCGGGGGUAGAGCACUGUUUCGGCUAGGGGGCCAUCCCGGCUUACCAACCCGAUGCAAACUACGAAUACCGAAGAAUGUUAUCACGGGAGACACACGGCGGGUGCUAACGUCCGUCGUGAAGAGGGAAACAACCCAGACCGCCAGCUAAGGUCCCAAAGUCAUGGUUAAGUGGGAAACGAUGUGGGAAGGCACAGACAGCCAGGAUGUUGGCUUAGAAGCAGCCAUCAUUUAAAGAAAGCGUAAUAGCUCACUGGUCGAGUCGGCCUGCGCGGAAGAUGUAACGGGGCUAAACCAUGCACCGAAGCUGCGGCAGCGACGCUUAUGCGUUGUUGGGUAGGGGAGCGUUCUGUAAGCCGUUGAAGGUGGCCUGUGAGGGUUGCUGGAGGUAUCAGAAGUGCGAAUGCUGACAUAAGUAACGAUAAAGCGGGUGAAAAGCCCGCUCGCCGGAAGACCAAGGGUUCCUGUCCAACGUUAAUCGGGGCAGGGUGAGUCGACCCCUAAGGCGAGGCCGAAAGGCGUAGUCGAUGGGAAACAGGUUAAUAUUCCUGUACUUGGUGUUACUGCGAAGGGGGGACGGAGAAGGCUAUGUUAGCCGGGCGACGGUUGUCCCGGUUUAAGCAUGUAGGCGGAGGUUCCAGGUAAAUCCGGUACCUU
rnacentral:rRNA from 1 species